AAGUCGUAACAAGGUCUCCGUAGGUGAACCUGCGGAGGGAUCAUUAACGAGUAAGGGCCGAAAGGCCCGACCUCCAACCCUUUGUUUGCGAAACCCCGUUGCCUCGGGGGCUCCGGCCCCCGUCGGGCCACUAAACACUGCAUCUUUGCGUCUGAGUAAUUUUUAAAUAAAUUAAAA
rnacentral:misc_RNA from 1 species